ensembl:lncRNA novel transcript
AGGGCUGAGGCAGUGAAGACAGCAGGAGCUACUGCUUUUACAUCUCUCUCCAGGACAAGAAAGAGGGCAUCUUCACCCUGCCCUGGGUGGGGAAUGUGCAGGAACUGUGUGAGCCAGGCCUGGGCGGCACACACAGAUGGAGCUGAGCUGUUCUCUCCUUUCUCUGGAAGAAUCAAAACCCAGAUGGAGUCUCUCUCUGUAGCCCAGACUGGAAUGCAAUGGCAUGAUCUCGGCUCACUGCAACCUCCGCCUUCCGGAUUCAAGCAAUUCUCCUGCCUCAGCCUCCUGAGUAGCUAGGAUUACAGGCACACACCACCACGCCUGGCUAAUUUUUGUAUUUGUAGUAGAGAUGAGGUUUCACCAUGUUCGCCAGGCUGGUCUUGAACUCCUGACCUUGUGAUCCAUCCGCCUUGGCCUCCCAAAGUGCUGGGAUUACAGGCGUGAGCCACCACGCCCGGACAAUUUUUAAAUUUUUUGUAGAGACAAGGUCUUGCUAUGUUGCCCAGGCUGGUCUCAAACCCCUGGGCUCAAGUGAUCCUCCAAUUUCAGCUUCCCAAAGUGUGCUGGGAUUUACAGAUGUGAGCCACUGCACCCAGCCUGUAUGGUUUUUUUUUUUUUUGGUUUUGUUUUUUGUUUUUGAGACAGAGUCUCUCUGUACCACCCAGGCUGGAGUGCAGUAGCGUGAUCUUGACUCACUGCAACCUCCCAUCUCCUGGGUUCAAGCGAUUCUUGUGCCUCACCUUCCUGAGUAGCUGGGAUUACAGGUGUGUGCCACCACGCCUGGGCAGUUUUUGUAUUUUUAGUGGAGACAGGGUUUUGCCAUGUUGGCCAGGCUGGUCUCAAACUCCUGGACUCAAGUGAUCCACCUGACUCGGCUUCUCAAAGUGCUGGGAUUACAGGCGUGAACCAUCCCGUCUGGCCUGUAUGUUUAAUUGAACUUAAUAAUAGUCAUAAUUUUUUCAGAGCCUCCGGUGAACCACUGACUUAACUAAUCAUCAAGUUUAAUCCUCACAACAACCUUGUAUCAUAGCUACUGUUUUUCUUUCUACUUAAUAUAAGAGGGAAGUGUGACUGGUGUAAGGUCAUGGGGCUAGCAAGUGGCUAAAUGGUAAGCUGAAAAGCAGCUUGGACCUCUCUUUUAAACUCGAGACUUGUAUGACCAGCUGAUUAUUUGACACGUCCCCUUAAAUGUCCAAUGGGCACCUCAAACUUAACAUGUCCAGGACCAAGUUCCUGCUAUCCACUCCCUGACCCCUAACCUGUUCAGUUAAUUGCCACUGCAUCUUUCAACUGCUCAGGCCAAAAAUCUUGAGCUAUCCUUAACUUCUCUUUCUCAUACACCCUAGCUUCAAUCCAUCAACACACUUAGUGAGGUCUACCUUCAAAAUAUCUCCAGCAUUGACCCCUUCCAACUCUCUCCGCUGUUCAUGUUCUGGCCUAAGCCACCAACAGCCUCCUCACUGCUCUUCAGGUUUCUGCCUUUGCUUCCCCUAAUCUCUCAACAGAUUCAGAUAUGUCACCCUUCUGCCUGAGCACUGCAUUGGGUAAAUGGAUGAGUAAAAGUCCAAGUGUUUACCCUGAGCUACAAGGCGUUAUCUGAACUGGCUUUUUUUGAGAUGGAGUCUCACUCUGCCACCCAAGUUGGGGUGCAGUGGUGCAAUCACAGCUCACUGCAGUCUAGACUGGCUGGGCUCAAGCCAUUCUCCCACCUCAGCCUCCUGGGACAACAGGUGCAUGCCACCAUGCUAAUUUUUAAAAUGUAUUUGUACAAACAAGGCUGCACUAUGUUGCCUAGGGUGGUCUUGAGCCCCUGGGCUCAAGUGAACCUCCCACCUUGGGCUCCCAAAGUGCUGGGAUUAGAGGUGUGAGCCAC